rnacentral:rRNA from 1 species
GAUGCCCAGCUUGCUGGGCGGAUUAGUGGCGAACGGGUGAGUAAUACGUGAGUAACCUGCCCUUGACUCUGGGAUAAGCCUGGGAAACUGGGUCUAAUACUGGAUACUACCUCUUACCGCAUGGUGGGUGGUGGAAAGGGUUUUACUGGUUUUGGAUGGGCUCACGGCCUAUCAGCUUGUUGGUGGGGUAAUGGCUCACCAAGGCGACGACGGGUAGCCGGCCUGAGAGGGUGACCGGCCACACUGGGACUGAGACACGGCCCAGACUCCUACGGGAGGCAGCAGUGGGGAAUAUUGCACAAUGGGCGGAAGCCUGAUGCAGCGACGCCGCGUGAGGGAUGACGGCCUUCGGGUUGUAAACCUCUUUCAGUAGGGAAGAAGCGAGAGUGACGGUACCUGCAGAAGAAGCGCCGGCUAACUACGUGCCAGCAGCCGCGGUAAUACGUAGGGCGCAAGCGUUGUCCGGAAUUAUUGGGCGUAAAGAGCUCGUAGGCGGUUUGUCGCGUCUGCUGUGAAAGCCCGGGGCUCAACCCCGGGUCUGCAGUGGGUACGGGCAGACUAGAGUGCAGUAGGGGAGACUGGAAUUCCUGGUGUAGCGGUGAAAUGCGCAGAUAUCAGGAGGAACACCGAUGGCGAAGGCAGGUCUCUGGGCUGUUACUGACGCUGAGGAGCGAAAGCAUGGGGAGCGAACAGGAUUAGAUACCCUGGUAGUCCAUGCCGUAAACGUUGGGCACUAGGUGUGGGGGACAUUCCACGUUUU